rnacentral:lncRNA from 1 species
AGAUUCAUCUGUUAGAGAUAAAUAUUGUACUCACUGAUCAACUUUUAACAACAUUGAAGACUAAAAUAUCACUGAUCACCACGUGGAUAAUUUAUGCAUAAAUAAAAAGAUAUGAUUUGUCGUAUCUUUCGCUUAUUUGACAACACAAUUGAUUUACCACAUUCUUGUUUUCAUUCGAGCUGUUGUGAUUCAUAUAUUGUAUGAUGCAGAUGUCCGUUACAGCUGACAUCUAUUAAGAAACUCCAAUUUCUGAGUUGACAUUGGUUAAUAUAUUUGCUUACUUUGACACACAAUCUUUGAUGCUGAUAGUUCUAAUUUUAGCUUAUGUUAUUCACCAUUUCUGCAAAUUAGGAAGUUCACCUUGCAGGAACUAAACUAUCAUAUGAGAGCUAAAUUGAAUGUAUGUCACUACAUUUGCAACUUUCUUCUACUCCUCUCUCUCUCUCUCUCUCUCUCUCAAGAGUAAGUUCCUUUUGUAACUCCAAUUUCUGAGUUGACUUUGGUUAAUAUAUUUACUUACUUUGACACACAAUCUUUGAUGCUGAUAGUCCUAAUUUUAGCUCAUGUUGUUCACCAUUUCUGCAAAUUGGGAAGUUCACCUUGCAGGAACUAAACUAUCAAAUGAGAGCUAAAUUGAAUGUAUGUCACUACAUUUGCAGCUUUCUUCUACGCCUCUCUCUCUCUCUCUCUCUCUCAGUGUAAGUUCUUUUUGUCCCUAAUCUAUCACAACAUUAUGUGAUAAGUGUCAUUUCUAUUGUUUUCAGUUAUUUUUCUGAAACUUAUUCAUGCUUUUAAUUCAGCAAGUUUAUGGCCUAGCUCCACAAAAGUUCUCCUGUCCAAACAAAUACCAUUAGCUUAUGAAUGUCAAGACUUUCUGCAAAUGUGUCUUUGGCAUUUAGAUUAGUCAAGCUUAGCAUGCUAGCAUGUAAAAUAAUGUCAGAACUCCCUGGGGAUGGGAUAUGCACAUAAAUUUCCCAGGAAGCUAUAAGAACUUCAGGAGUUUGAAUUAGGUGAAUUUCUGUUGCAAUGGAAUUCAGACUAAAGGGCCUGUAUAAGAGGUAGAACAAGAGAACAAGAUAAUCCUUGAAAGAGAGAUGAGAAAUGUUUUUGAGACAGAGGGAUAGGUAUCUGAUAUAUAUAGUUACUCCUUUUUUUUUAGGAAAGUAUUAAUGGCAACUAAGAAUAUCAAAUUAUCGAAUUAUUGGGUUUGCGAUGUUUUCCUGUUUGCUGGAUGAAUGAAUUGAAAACUACCUAACAAUGUAGCGCACUGUGCUUUCCAGAGUUGCAUACAUUCAUUUCACUGUAGUAGUGAGAUUUUAGUUACCAUCCAUUCAAUUAAAACUGUUGUGUAGAGCACAGUAAGGUAUUCUAAUUUUCUUCCUUGGAUAUUCCAACAUAGGUAGACCGUAACCAAUUAUAACUUCAACAAACACCCUUCUUGCCCUACAAAAGGGGAAAAGAAAAUGUUUAUUCCCCUACUCAUCUAGUUUGAUUCUACAUGUAUGUAUGGCCUGUCAUGGCAUACUAAAUCAUUACAAACUUCCACGAUAUUCCUGCUAUAACUAGAUGACUAGACCAAAUGUACAGCAGCGAAAUGGGGGAACUGGAGGUUACAGAAAUCAAAAAACAGAUCAGAAGACUAGGUUAAUUGCAAGGACCCUCCUGUUGAGUUCUAAUGGAUACAUGAGUAGCAGAUG